rnacentral:rRNA from 1 species
AUUGAACGCUGGCGGCAGGCCUAACACAUGCAAGUCGAGCGAGCGGCGGACGGGUGAGUAAUGCCUGGGAAUUGCCCAGUCGAGGGGGAUAACAGUUUGAACCGACUGCUAAUACCGCAUACGAUUGCAUUGCACAGGUUGGAUUAGCUAGUUGUUGAGGUAAUGGCUCACCAAGGUGACGAUCCCUAGCUGGUCUGAGAGGAUGAGCAGCAACAUUGGAACGGAGACACGGUCCAGACUCCUACGGGAGGCAGCAGUGGGGAAUAUUGCACAAUGGGGUAAACCCUGAUGCAGCCAUGCCGCGUGUGUGAUGAAGGCCUUCGGGUUGUAAAGCACUUUCAGCGAGGAGGCGUUACUCGCAUAAGAAGCACCGGCUAACUCCGUGCCAGCAGCCGCGGUAAUAC